AUGAAAAAUUAUUACCUAAAAUAUUCUGUUCUGGAGGCUGAGGCUGACAACUCAAAUCCAAAGAAGUCCAGUUUAUCUGUUUCUUUGAAGGUUAAUGCUUUUGUGUUAUGUUUCAGAAAUUUUUCCUCAUUAAGCUCCCUACAUCGCUCGGCGGUGCUGGCCACACCGCACCGCACCACACGCCAGCAGCCUGGGGCCGACCGCCCCGCCACAGCCGUGGAGGAUGUGAGAGAGUAUGACAACACAGAGGAGUUCGCGGAGGGAUUUAAAAUCAACCCGAGCAAGAACCAGCAGGAAUGACGGCCUUGGGAAAGAACCCAAGCUGGAUGGCAAACUGAUAGACCCGAAAAGGGCCAAAGCUCUAAAAGAGAAAGAACCCCCUAAGAAGGUUUUUUUUUUUUUUAGGUGGAUGGAGCCUACACACUUUGGAAGAGAAAAUUAAAGAAUAUUUUGGAGCCUUUGGAGAGAUUGAAAACAUUAAACUUCCCAUGGAUACAGAAACAAAUCAAAGAAGAGGAUUUUGUUUUAUCACCAGACACAGAUGAAGAACCAGUUAAGAAAUUGUUGGAAAGUAGAUAUCAUCAAAUUGGUUCUGGGAAGUGUGAAAUCAAAGUGGCACAACCCAAAGAGGUCUAUAGGCAGCAGCAGCAGCAACAAAAAGGAGCAGGAGGUGCUGUGUGGGGUCAUGGCCGAGGUCAGGGCCAAAACUGGAACCAAGGAUUUAAAAACUAUUAUGAUCAAGGAUAUGGAAAUUACAAUAGUGCUUAUGGUGGUGAUCAAAACUAUAGUGGCUAUGGCAGAUAUGAGAAUAUUGGGUGUAACUAUGGGAACCAUGGAUGUGGACAGGGAUAUGCAGGCUACAGUGGCCACCAGAGCACUUAGGGCAAGGUAUCUUGAGGGGGUGGCCAUCAGCAAAACAAUUACCAGUCAUACAUACCAAAGGAGGAUUGUGGAGGGAACAGGAGAUACUAAAGAAACCCAUCUUGCAAGAGGACAUUGAAGAUUGGUCUUCUGUUGAUCUAAGAUGAUUAUUUUGUAGACGACUUUCUAGUGUACAAGACACAAAUGUGUCCAACUGUAAAUAGCCACCAAUUAGCUUCCUUUGUUUUUACUUUGUCUUUUGCUACGUGUUAAGACUCAAUAUGGAUUUGUUUUUAUACAGAUUUUAUUUGUAUGAUUUCUUGUUAAACAUCAAAUAAAAGCUUCCUUAUGU